rnacentral:rRNA from 1 species
AGCGAACGUUUGCGGCGGGCUUAACACAUGCAAGUCGAACGGGCUGUUCCUUCGGGGGCAGUCAGUGGCGCACGGGUGCGUAACACGUAGGUAAUCAACCCUCUGGUUGGGGAUAACACUUCGAAAGGAGUGCUAAUACCCGGUAUGGCGCAGCGGUCUUCGGAUCGCGGCGAGAAAGACCCGCAAGGGUUGCCAGAGGACGAGCCUGCGGCCCAUCAGCUAGUUGGCGAGGUAACGGCUCACCAAGGCGAAGACGGGUAGCUGGUCUGAGAGGAUGAUCAGCCACACUGGAACUGAGACACGGUCCAGACUCCUACGGGGGGCAGCAGUGGGGAAUAUUGCGCAAUGGGCGAAAGCCUGACGCAGCCACGCCGCGUGAGCGAUGAAGGCCUCGGUCGUAAG